rnacentral:rRNA from 1 species
GACGAACGCUGGCGGCGUGCUUAACACAUGCAAGUCGAACGGAAAGGCCCUGCUUUUGUGGUUUGCUCGAGUGGCGAACGGGUGAGUAACACGUGAGUAUCCUCCCCUUGACUUUGUGAUAUCUUCACGAAACUGCGGCUAAUAUCGGAUAUGAGCUCCUGCUGCAUGGUGUGGGUUGGAAAGUUUCGGCGGUUGGGGAUGGACUCGCGGCUUAUCCGCUUGUUUGUGUGGUUGUGGCUUACCAAGGCUUUGACGGGUAGCCUGCCUGAGAGGGGGAACGGCGACAAUAGGACUGAGAGACGGAGCAGACGCCUACGGGAGGCAGCAGGGGGGAGUAUUGCAGAAUGGGCGGAAGCGAGAUGCAGCAACGCCGCGAGCGGGAUAACGGGCUACGGGUUGAAAACAGCUGUCGACGGUGACGAAGAGUGAGUGACGGUAAUGGGUAAAGAAGCAACGGCUAACUACGUG